rnacentral:misc_RNA from 1 species
UACGGAGGGUGCAAGCGUUGCCCGGAUUUAUUGGGCGUAAAGUGUUCGUAGGCUCUUUAGUAAGUUGUUCUUCAAAGACCGGGGCUCAACCUCGGGCCGGGGAGCAAUACUGCUAGAGUUGAAGAGUGUCGGGGCUAUCGGAACUGUCGGUGUAGGGGUGAAAUCCGUUGAUAUCGAUAGGAACUCCAAGGGCGAAGGCGGAUAGCUAGACACUUCUUGACGCUGAGGAACGAAAGCUAGGGGAGCGAAAGGG